CAAAAGACUGUGAAGCAGAAAAAGACCUGCGUUUUCCUGCACAGAGAGGCGGCGGACGGUGCAAGCCGCACAGGGAACAUAGGUGCAUAGCUCUCUGCGGAGUUGCUCUUCUGAAUAGAAAUCAAUAGGAAGAGCCGUUUAACCUCGUUAUCGGUUGAGGCAUUGUUUGAUGCCAAAGGGCAGAUUUUUUCUGCUGAAGUAGGGUGGUACCACGNGGUGGUACCACGCAUAAAUACUGCGUCCCUAUC
rfam:Clostridium sp.CAG:217_53_7 isolate CAG:217_53_7 Ley3_66761_scaffold_12436, whole genome shotgun sequence.